UAUUUUAUGUGUGCCUGAGAUUCUUAAAAUACUGAUAAAUGUUACCCAACAAUAGUUGACAAAAGUGAAAUCUCAAAGUAGGGUUUGUCUUAUCCAUAUACUCUUUCUAGGGCCUUACGGUAUUGUCUGGCACAGUGUGGUGGUUAGGUGGCUGUGUCUGAUAGAUGAAUGAAUAAAAGCCAUUUUUCACUGAAAUUAACAGUUUGAGUUACUUGAGUAUAUAGCUUUUUUCCUUAAAAAAAUAUCUGUAUCAGAAAACUUAAGACUGAAUUAUUAAUGUUUUUUAAUGCCAGUAGUUUUUGCCUUAAAAAUAAAACAGUGAUACUUUACACAAAACAGUGGGGAAUUAUUUAAAUGAUCAAAUUUUCUGAAGUAGAUCUUCAGUAGUUCCUUAACUAGGUCUUUGAUCAUUUUGAAAUCUCUGAUGUAAAUGACCAUGUCUCUGAAAAUCAUUGCAUUGUACAAGGCUAAUUGAAAUGCCCUGAAAUGUUUUGUAACAUUCAAUAUCAACAGUAAAAAAACUCCUGAUUUCUA
rnacentral:lncRNA from 1 species